rnacentral:tRNA from 1 species
AGCCUUGUAUUCAUUUUAGUGAUAUUGGAAUGCAAUUCUAGAGGGGUGGAUUAACCACUAAGGCCU